UCUUUUUUAGUUCAGUAAGAUGAGUUCUCAGGAAAAGUCUCUUGAUUAAUUUUUUAUGUCUUAUCUUUUUUUUCCCUACUCUGACAUAUCUUUUGAUUUGCAUGAUUAGGCUGCAAGGGAAACUGGUGCACUUCAAGAAGCAAAGGACAAACUUUAAGAAAUGGUGGAGGAACUCACCUGGCGUCUCCAACUAGAAAAAAGUUCACGGACCAACCUCGAAGAGUCCAAAGCACAAGAGAUAUUAAAACUGCAGAAUUCACUGCAGGAGAUGCAGGGUAAAGUUGAUGAAACCAAUGCUCUACAGGGUAAACUUGAUGAAACCAAUGCUCUACUUGUCAAGGAGCGAGAGAAUGUAGAGAAGGUUACCAUCGAAGUAACUCCAGUUAUCCAAGAAAAGGAGAUUAUUGUUGAAGACACUGCAAAGAUUGAUGCACAAACAGUGGAAGUUGAGAGGCUAAAGGAUUGUGGACAAGGUUAACAAUUCUAUUGGGAAAGAUCCAAAUUCAAAGAACUUAAUCGGAGUCUUAGAUAUAUACAGAUUUGAAAUUUUCAAGACGAACAGCUUUGAGCAAUUCUGUAUCAAUUUGACUUAUGAGAAAUUGUAACAACAUUUCAACCAGGUGGGGAUUUCUUCUGGAGCUGCUGCAGCAGCAGCUGCAAUAAGGGUUGGAAAGAGACUUGAGAAUGCAGGGAAGCUUAUUGCGAAAUUUUCCAUUCAAGCAAGAAAAAUGAAAUGCACACUAGCGUCACUCAUUGAUAUAAUUAGUACAAGAGAAAGCACAUAAGUAGGAGUACUGUGAGAAGUAUGCUAAAGCUGAAGAUGUAGGAGCUGCACCAGAAGAGAAAUCAAGUGAUGAUGAGGAAAUAAGUAAAGAUCAAUAUGAUUCAAGUGAUGAACAGGUUGAUGGUAAAGCAGAUCCUUAGCUACUUCAAGUGAUGAACUUGGAAUUGUGGUCAAAGGGGGAAAUGGCCCUUAUUGUUGUUCAGUUUCACAUCAAUGUAAAUAAUGUACCAUUGAUUUCCUGAUGAAAUCUUAGUUUCUUGUUGUGGCUCUUUCAAAUUGAUGCAUUGUGCUUUUUAGCUUAGCAUGGUACUACCAUAAUAUGCACAAAUACUCUUCCUGUAACUCAUUUAAUGCAAUGUUCACAACUAUUCAUCUUUUGAUCUUUGAAA